GUCUGGCUGGCUCAGCUGGUAGAGCAUGUGACUCUUGAUCUCAGGGUUGUGAGUUUGAGCCUCAUGUUGGGUG
rnacentral:tRNA from 1 species